UGCUUGGGAAUAUGCCUUUUGGUGGGGACGAACAGUUGGAACGACUGCUAAUACCGCAUAACGUCUACGGACCAAAGUAGGGGGACCGUUCGGGCCUCACGCCAAGAGAUUAGCCCAAGUGGGAUUAGCUAGUUGGUGAGGUAAUGGCUCACCAAGGCAACGAUCCCUAGCUGGUUUGAGAGGAUGAUCAGCCACACUGGAACUGAGACACGGUCCAGACUCCUACGGGAGGCAGCAGUGGGGAAUAUUGCACAAUGGGCGCAAGCCUGAUGCAGCCAUGCCGCGUGUGUGAAGAAGGCC
rnacentral:rRNA from 1 species